rnacentral:rRNA from 1 species
UGCCAGACUCCUACGGGAGGCAGCAGUGGGGGAUAUUGCACAAUGGGGGAAACCCUGAUGCAGCGACGCCGCGUGUGGGAAGACGGUCCUCUGGAUUGUAAACCACUGUCCCCAGGGACGAAGAUGACGGUACCUGGGGAGGAAGCUCCGACUAACUACGUGCCAGCAGCCGCGGUAAUACGUAGGGAGCGAGCGUUGUCCGGAAUUACUGGGUGUAAAGGGAGCGUAGACGGCGGCGCAAGUCCGGAGUGAAAGCCCACGGCCCAACCGUGGGACUGCUCUGGAAACUGUGCGGCUUGAGUGCGGGAGGGGCAGGCGGAAUUCCUAGUGUAGCGGUGAAAUGCGUAGAUAUUAGGAGGAACACCGGCGGCGAAGGCGGCCUGCUGGACCGUAACUGACGUUGAGGCUCGAAAGCGUGGGGAGCAAACAGGAUUAGAUACCCCUGUAAG